UACGAAGGGGGCUAGCGUUGUUCGGAAUUACUGGGCGUAAAGCGCACGUAGGCGGGUUUGUAAGUAGGGGGUGAAAUCCCAGAGCUCAACUCUGGAACUGCCUUCUAAACUGCAAGCCUGGAGGUCAGGAGAGGCGAGUGGAAUACCGAGUGUAGAGGUGAAAUUCGUAGAUAUUCGGUGGAACACCAGUGGCGAAGGCGACUCGCUGGGCUGAUACUGACGCUGAGGUGCGAAAGCGUGGGGAGCAAACAGG
rnacentral:rRNA from 1 species